AGGUAUUCUGGAGCUAUAUGCCCUGCUGUACCACAUACAUCAGUGAUGACAUGAGAAUCAUUGUAGUCCAUCAAUUUAGCCAGCCCAAAGUCCCCAACAACAGCUUCAAACUCCUCAUUCAACAAAAUAUUUGCAGCUUUCACAUCACGGUGAAUAACUUUUGGAUUACAGUGAACAUGCAAAUAAGAACGACCCCUUGCAGAUCCCAAUGCAACUCUCUUUCUGGUAGGCCAAUCAAGUGCAGGCUGUGAUGGAGGUCGCUCUCUUAAGUGGGAGGCAACACUCCCAUUAGCCAUGUAGGGGUAAACAAGAAGCUUUUCAGAAGUUGUCAUACAAAACCCACGUAGCCU
rnacentral:misc_RNA from 1 species